UACGUAGGGGGUAAGCGUUGUCCGGAUUUAUUGGGCGUAAAGAGCGUGUAGGCGGCUUUACAGGUCCGUUGUGAAAACUCGAGGCUCAACCUCGAGACGCCGGUGGAAACCGUAAGGCUAGAGUCCGGAAGAGGAGAGUGGAAUUCCUGGUGUAGCGGUGAAAUGCGCAGAUAUCAGGAAGAACACCCGUGGCGAAGGCGGCUCUCUGGGACGGUACUGACGCUGAGACGCGAAAGCGUGGGGAGCGAACAGG
rnacentral:rRNA from 1 species